AUUGAACGCUGGCAGCAUGCUUAACACAUGCAAGUCGAACGGUAACAGGCCCUUCGGGUGCUGACGAGUGGCGGACGGGUGAGUAACGCUUAGGAAUCUACCUAGUAGUGGGGGAUAACCCGGGGAAACUCGGGCUAAUACCGCGUACGCCCUACGGGGGAAAGGCGGGGGACGUUUCGGGCCGUCGCGCUAUUAGAUGAGCCUAAGUCCG
rnacentral:rRNA from 1 species